AGACCGUGAUGAGGACACUUUUGUAAUAGCUCCUUAAAUCUUUCCCAAGUUUCAUAUAAGGAUUCCCCCUCGUCUUGCGAGUAUAUAUUAAUUUCAAUCAUUAAUUU
rnacentral:snoRNA from 1 species